rfam:Picea glauca, whole genome shotgun sequence.
GAGAUGUCAUCGGGGGCCUGGGAAGAGUUAUCUUUUCUUUUUAAUAACUUUCCCACCCUGAAAUCGGUUCAACUAGAGAUAGGGUCCAACAUUUGAAAGAGCACCACACGCCUUGUGGUGUUUGGUUUCCCCUCGGCGACCAUUGUAAAUAUGGUGAACCAAGUACCAUCCAUGCCCGAUCGUACUCAUAUCUACCUCCUUGGGUUUUUCAAUGUCCACUAGGUUAGCGAUCU